rnacentral:rRNA from 1 species
GAUGAACGCUGGCGGCGUGCUUAACACAUGCAAGUCGAACGAUGAUCCGGGUGCUUGCACUCGGGGAUUAGUGGCGAACGGGUGAGUAACACGUGAGCAACCUGCCCCUGACUCUGGGAUAAGCGCUGGAAACGGCGUCUAAUACUGGAUAUGUCCCGUCACCGCAUGGUGUGCGGGUGGAAAGAUUUUUCGGUUGGGGAUGGGCUCGCGGCCUAUCAGCUUGUUGGUGAGGUAAUGGCUCACCAAGGCGUCGACGGGUAGCCGGCCUGAGAGGGUGAGCGGCCACACUGGGACUGAGACACGGCCCAGACUCCUACGGGAGGCAGCAGUGGGGAAUAUUGCACAAUGGGCGGAAGCCUGAUGCAGCAACGCCGCGUGAGGGAUGACGGCCUUCGGGUUGUAAACCUCUUUUAGCAGGGAAGAAGCGAGAGUGACGGUACCUGCAGAAAAAGCACCGGCUAACUACGUGCCAGCCGCCGCGGUAAAAC